rnacentral:rRNA from 1 species
UACGUAGGGCGCAAGCGUUAUCCGGAAUUAUUGGGCGUAAAGAGCUCGUAGGCGGUUUGUUCGCGUUCUGCCGUGAAAGUCCGGGGCUCAACUCCGGAUCUGCGGUGGGUACGGGCAGACUAGAGUGAUGUAGGGGAGACUGGAAUUCCUGGUGUAGCGGUGAAAUGCGCAGAUAUCAGGAGGAACACCGAUGGCGAAGGCAGGUCUCUGGGCAUUAACUGACGCUGAGGAGCGAAAGCAUGGGGGAGCGAACAGG